rnacentral:rRNA from 1 species
GCCCCGCAACCGCUCCGCAACACGUGUGGGCUUGCGAGCGCUCACGGUGCAGCACACGUCGCCAACCCGCAUCGCUACCUUUUUUUUACUGGAUAAGUCCGAGAGGAGCGCUGGGAGGAGAGGAAGGAUUAGAGGACGGCGGCGGUGGGCCAGGAAGGAGGAGCGGAGACGGUAAGCUAGAGGCGGCGAGCCAGAAGAGGGGACGUACGCGAGGCAGGGAAGGAGGAGCAACCGCGAGUUGACCGUCAACUACUCGUCGCCGCCUGCUCGUCGCCGCCUGCUCUAGCCGCGCAGUGCUCUCGCUUGUGCCGUCGAUAGUGCCCGUCUCGUCUCGCUUCGGCCGCACCGCCGGCCCGCGCUAGACCUCUUGAUCACCCGCCACUACGGGCUAUACCCGGCCGCGCUGGAUGCGUCGCCUCGCUAGACCUGCUCUACUGACCACGGCCAAAGGAGUGGUACGACGCUGGUCACGGAGCCGUCCACUCAACACAACAACAGGAGAAGCUGCUGCUGCCGCCCGCCGUGCGGGUAGUCACGGGCACACGGGGCUGGCUACACCUGACGAACGCAACCCGGUAUCGUCGACGAACGAGUUCGGCCGCACACCUGACGGACUAACCAGUUACUUCCGGAGUUGGUAACCUCCGUGUUUUAACACUUCGAAUUCUAAGGGGUGGGAACAAAGUUAGAGGCUCCUAAAGAGUUACCUCCCAAACAAAUUGUGCCUAUUCGGAAAAAUGGAAUAAGAACGAAAUGUGUGAUUAUAGUCAAUUUACUUAAAGACUAUACUAACGAAGUCACUAUUAAAAACGUCUUCGUGUACGACUACCACGUGAACGGAAACCUUAUUAAUGAAACGAGAUGUUGUCAUACUUCCCAUUCGAUUAAGAUAACAGUGACACGAAGUGUGAAGAGACAGUACCAAAUGUCUAAGUCUAGAUCGUUAAUACGAUUUCCGUCUCUGUCUCUUCCCCUAAUCACCUCACCUAAAAGUAAAAGUCAUGACCGAAAAUGGUACUGGGACAGCAACGGAGCAUGAUGUCGUUGUAUAUACCUCCCGGUGUUCGGAUCAUACUAAACAGUCUCGCUGUAGAUGGGAGGGACGGUGUUUACUAACUAGGAAAAUUGGUCUAAGUCUUAGGCUUGAAAGCAAAGUAAUUUUUUCUUUUGGCUCCAACCAGUAGGUACUACGUAAAUAUCUAGGUAAACUACUACUUAGGGUAGGGUAGAACUUAUGGGGAGGGAAGUAAAGUUUCCAUGAUCUGAUGAUCGAUCGUAAUGGAACAAACACAAACGGCUAAUUCAAAACUCUACUUAUCGAUAAUAAAAAUAAGACUUAGAAAAUAUAUACUGUUGAAGACAUGUAUGACUACAGGUCUAUUUAGUCGAUACAUCAAAACUAUAAAGUAUAUAUGGUAGUUAAAAAAGGAGUUCGUUACUCUAAUUUUAGUCAAGACACAACACGUUGUUUAUAGUAGUCUCACUAGUGAGGUUCUAAAAUUAUAACCAUUAAUACAUACCAGGAUCGGUAAAAACCAUCGUAUGACAUCGGUUCUAUAUCAUACAUGACAGUAAAAAGAAAAACACCAACUUUCUAUACUGUCAAGUCAACAGGUUGUUCUUAAAAUCUCCAAUGAAGUCUUGAAACCCAGUAAUCAAACCUCUUUGUAAAAACCGAAAGGGAGAAGACGACGACAAGUACUCCUAUAGGGAAAAAAAUUUUAAUAACGCAAUUAAUUCUUUUCCGAUAUGGUACAAUAAACCUUUAAAUAGAGUCGAAAAAACAAACGUUUAACUAAACAACUUGAAAACCACAUUCCUCUAGUUGAUGGAGAACGAACGUAACGUACAAUUUUGCGAAACCACUUCUUUAUACAUUAUAUUCUCCAUAAGAGGAGAAGUCAAACUGAAGAACUGUUUACUUUAUUUUCACUUAAGAAUUACCUUUAUGUGGGCUAGGAAAGAUAUACCGUUACUGUCAAGAUCCUAAUCAUCAAGAUGAAUUAUAAAGAAUAAUAAACAACAGUUUAUGUGGAUUUCCGUGGUAUCAUAAAUAAAAACAAUUAUUAGUAACUGAACUAUAAUCUCGAAAUAGCAGAGUCAAAUAUAAAAAAGUUUACCUAAACGAAUAGUUUACCAACAGAGAACCCAUUACACACGUGAAUUAAGUUCGGUUCAAUACUUGACCUUACGUAAACGUUCGUCUCCUCGCACAGGCCGACAACAGCAUGCUCUUCUUCGAUCACACACGUCGACUCCUGGGUCCUACGAUUGCCACAUCUCAGCAAGUGGUAGCUCUCCUGGUCCCGAAGGUAGUACCAGGAGGCCUGGUUCGAGUUGUAUAGACGGCGGAAGUAGCUGUUGAACAGGACCUCCUAGUAACGGCAGACGUUGCUGAGUGGACUUACAUGCGGACACUACCGUAAAAUCAAAGAAGGGGUGCACUACGUAGUUAUGUUAUUCAAAUAGUUCUUAACGUACUUACACGAUAGGUCUAGGUUUUUCUUUUACUUCCACAGCAAGGGGUU